rnacentral:rRNA from 1 species
AACGUAGGUGGCAAGCGUUAUCCGGAUUUACUGGGCGUAAAGCGUGUGCAGGCGGGGGUGCAAGUGGUGUAUGAAAUUUCCCAGCUUAACUGGGAAGGGUUAUGCCAGACUGUACUUCUGGAGUGCGAGAGAGGGGCGUGGAAUUCCGGGUGUAGUGGUGAAAUGCGUAGAUAUCAGGAGGAACACCUGUGGUGUAGACGGCUCUCUGGACCGCAACUGACGCUGAGACACGAAAGCGUGGGUAGCAAACAGG